rnacentral:lncRNA from 11 species
CUGAGGUACUGUCACUGAGGCCUACAAAAUGGCCGCUCAUCAGUCCUGCGAGGUGGGCCACAUACCAACUUUGGCAGGCAUCUUCAGAGGUUGUGAGGUAUGGAGGUAUUCCCUCUUGUUUUUCACACUCCCAACGGAACACUUUUGAGUUUGUGGCAAAAAUGAAGCAGCCAACAUCUUCAAACAUCGGAAGACCUGCAAAGUCAAUCAGUGAGGGUAUCUGCUUAGAGACAGCCUGGCCUCUGUUGCCUGAAGGCACCCUUCUGUUUGGGAGGAGUUAACUGGCACUUGAUUGUUUGCUGCCUGGAGUUCCCCUGUUUCUGAGACAUCAGGAGAACUGCAAGACCAAGAACAAGCCACGAGAGUAAAGACAAAGAUCCACCCAACGUGUUCUUUCCCAAGCCUCACAGUGCAGCCACAGUGUAAACCAGGCAUGGGUAAGUGUUUAGGACUUCAACAUAAUACAUAAAAUUUGUGUAUUUCAUGGCCAUCUUUCGGGGGUGCUUUGAAUGCGAUUUUCCUGCUUCUUGGCA